rnacentral:lncRNA from 1 species
CAUGCACCCGGCCUUUGCUGGUAUCCACAUGGAGCUGCUUGAUCGAAGCAUCAAGAUCAUUAAUGUGCUAGUACCUUGCAGAUCUCACUCCUCAUCCAUGGAUCUUGAUCUCUUCUUUUAGAUCUUGAAGAAGCAGAUCGCUGCGCGAACUCUUUCGCGUAGAUCCGAUGGGAUCUGAACCAGAUCACCAUGAAGAAAAGAAGAACCCUUUUUCUUCUCUUAUUCUCUUUCUUUUUCUCUCUUAGAUUUGAUCUGUAUCAGAUCUGGGCAUGGACAUGAAGUGGAC